ACGUGGGUGGCUCAGUCGGUUAAGCAUCUGACUUCGACUCAGGUCAUGAUCUCACGGUUUGUGAGUUCGAACCCCGCACCAGGUU
rnacentral:tRNA from 1 species